UGAACGCUGGCGGCAGGCCUAACACAUGCAAGUCGAGCGGCAGCGCGUCCGACCACCCUCGGGUGGUCGGAUGGCGGCGAGCGGCGGACGGGUGAGGAAUGCAUCGGAAUCUGCCUCGUUGUGGGGGAUAACGUAGGGAAACUUACGCUAAUACCGCAUACGACCUACGGGUGAAAGUGGGGGACCUUCGGGCCUCACGCGAUGAGAUGAGCCGAUGCCGGAUUAGCUAGUUGGCGGGGUAAAGGCCCACCAAGGCGACGAUCCGUAGCUGGUCUGAGAGGAUAAUCAGCCACACUGGAACUGAGACACGGUCCAGACUCCUACGGGAGGCAGCAGUGGGGAAUAUUGGACAAUGGGGGCAACCCUGAUCCAGCCAUGCCGCGUGUGUGAAGAAGGCCUUCGGGUUGUAAAGCACUUUUGCUGGGGAAGAAACCGGCCGGGUUAAUACCCUGGUUGAAUGACGGUACCCAAAGAAUAAGCACCGGCUAACUUCGUG
rnacentral:rRNA from 1 species